rnacentral:rRNA from 1 species
UUAAAGAGUGCGUAAUAGCUCACUAGUCGAGUGACACUGCGCCGAAAAUGUACCGGGGCUAAACAUAUUACCGAAGCUGUGGAUUGUCCUUUGGACAAUGGUAGGAGAGCGUUCUAAGGGCGUCGAAGCAUGAUCGCAAGGACAUGUGGAGCGCUUAGAAGUGAGAAUGCCGGUGUGAGUAGCGAAAGACGGGUGAGAAUCCCGUCCACCGAUUGACUAAGGUUUCCAGAGGAAGGCUCGUCCGCUCUGGGUUAGUCGGGUCCUAAGCUGAGGCCGACAGGCGUAGGCGAUGGAUAACAGGUUGAUAUUCCUGUACCACCUAGUAUCGUUUUAAUCGAUGGGGGGACGCAGUAGGAUAGGCGAAGCGUGCUGUUGGAGUGCACGUCCAAGCAGUAAGGCUGAGUGUUAGGCAAAUCCGGCACUCAUAAGGCUGAGCUGUGAUGGGGAGAGGAAAUUGUUUCCUCGAGUCGUUGAUUUCACACUGCCGAGAAAAGCCUCUAGAUAGAUAACAGGUGCCCGUACCGCAAACCGACACAGGUAGUCAAGAUGAGAAUUCUAAGGUGAGCGAGCGAACUCUCGUUAAGGAACUCGGCAAAAUGACCCCGUAACUUCGGGAGAAGGGGUGCUCUUUAGGGUUCACGCCCAGAAGAGCCGCAGUGAAUAGGCCCAAGCGACUGUUUAUCAAAAACACAGGUCUCUGCUAAACCGUAAGGUGAUGUAUAGGGGCUGACGCCUGCCCGGUGCUGGAAGGUUAAGAGGAGUGGUUAGCUUCUGCGAAGCUACGAAUCGAAGCCCCAGUAAACGGCGGCCGUAACUAUAACGGUCCUAAGGUAGCGAAAUUCCUUGUCGGGUAAGUUCCGACCCGCACGAAAGGCGUAACGAUUUGGGCACUGUCUCAACGAGAGACUCGGUGAAAUCAUAGUACCUGUGAAGAUGCAGGUUACCCGCGACAGGACGGAAAGACCCCGUGGAGCUUUACUGUAGCCUGAUAUUGAAAUUCGGCACAGCUUGUACAGGAUAGGUAGGAGCCUUUGAAACGUGAGCGCUAGCUUACGUGGAGGCGUUGGUGGGAUACUACCCUAGCUGUGUUGGCUUUCUAACCCGCACCACUUAUCGUGGUGGGAGACAGUGUCAGGCGGGCAGUUUGACUGGGGCGGUCGCCUCCUAAAAGGUAACGGAGGCGCUCAAAGGUUCCCUCAGAAUGGUUGGAAAUCAUUCAUAGAGUGUAAAGGCAUAAGGGAGCUUGACUGCGAGACCUACAAGUCGAGCAGGGUCGAAAGACGGACUUAGUGAUCCGGUGGUUCCGCAUGGAAGGGCCAUCGCUCAACGGAUAAAAGCUACCCCGGGGAUAACAGGCUUAUCUCCCCCAAGAGUUCACAUCGACGGGGAGGUUUGGCACCUCGAUGUCGGCUCAUCGCAUCCUGGGGCUGUAGUCGGUCCCAAGGGUUGGGCUGUUCGCCCAUUAAAGCGGUACGCUAGCUGGGUUCAGAACGUCGUGAGACAGUUCGGUCCCUAUCCGUCGUGGGCGUAGGAAAUUUGAGAGGAGCUGUCCUUAGUACGAGAGGACCGGGAUGGACAUACCUCUGGUGUACCAGUUGUCGUGCCAACGGCAUAGCUGGGUAGCUAUGUAUGGACGGGAUAAGUGCUGAAAGCAUCUAAGCAUGAAGCCCCCCUCAAGAUGAGAUUUCCCAACUUCGGUUAUAAGAUCCCUCGAAGAUGACGAGGUUAAUAGGUUCGAGGUGGAAGCGUGGUGACACGUGGAGCUGACGAAUACUAAUCGAUCGAAGACUUAAUCAAUUUUUAAA